UACAGAGAUCUCAAGCAUUGUUCGGAUUCAUUGGGCGUAAAGGGUGCGUAGGCGGCGCGGUAAGUCGGGUGUGAAAUCUCGGAGCUUAACUCCGAAACUGCAUUCGAUACUGCCGUGCUUGAGGACUGGAGAGGAGACUGGAAUUUACGGUGUAGCGGUGAAAUGCGUAGAUAUCGUAAGGAAGACCAGUGGCGAAGGCGGGUCUCUGGACAGUUCCUGACGCUGAGGCACGAAGGUCAGGGGAGCAAACGGG
rnacentral:rRNA from 1 species